AUGCCGUUGUUGGUCCACCAGGAUCAAACAGGGUUUCUGUCUGGUCGCACUAUCUCUGAGAACUUCUUAUAUGCGGCCGACGUCCUACAUGUGUGCGCUAGAAGGAAAGCCCCCACUAUGGUGAUCAAACUCGAUUUCUCAAAAGCUUUCGACUCCGUCUGUUGGCCUUCCCUGCUUGCCAUCCUUGCUGUCCAGAGCUUCCCUGAUAAAUGGAUUAAAUGGAUAGAAUCACUGCUUACCACUGGCAAAACGGCCAUCCUUCUAAACGGAACCCACGGCCCAUGGAUUCAAUGCAAAAAUGGGUUAAGACAGGGGGACCCCCUAUCCCCGUUUCUCUUCAUAAUAAUUUCCGAUGUGCUCCAAAGAAUGAUCAUAAAGGCCUGUCAGCAAAACCUGCUUGCACAUCCCAUCUCCCCAGGUCUCUCUUGCCCGGUCCUUCAGUACGCCGACGACACCCUAAUUAUUAUUAAGGCAGACACUUCCGCAGCCGCCAACCUAAAGCGUAUCCUCGAUGACUUCUCUAACGCCACCAGGCUAACCAUAAACUUCUCAAAAUCCACUUUCGUCCCCCUAAAUAUUGAGCCAGAAAUGGCCGCUGAAAUAGCAGCCACACUUGGCACCUCCGUGGCUGCUGUAACGCCCUCGAUGCGGCUAUAUCUCCCACGUGUCGAAGCACGACUUAGAGGCAUAACCGCAUUGAAAACAAUGUCGCAAGUGAGGUAA
rnacentral:rRNA from 1 species